rnacentral:lncRNA from 1 species
AUGGAAACAUAUUUAUUGUUAUUGUGGCAGAGAUGUAAAGUAAAUGUAUGAUAAACACCACUAGUAUCAUAGAGUCUCCUGAGUUGCACUGGUAGCACUACAGCAAAAGUUGCACUGGUAGCACUACAGCAAAAUCAGUCUUUUACGGCGCACAUUUGACGUGCGCUGUAAAAAAUUGACAUUUACGGCGCACAUCUCAUGUGUACCGUCGAAAUAUGUUUAUUUAUGUCAUUCACGGCAUGCAUAUUAUGUGUGCCGUAAAUUUAAUUAUCUAUUAACGGCGCACACAAAUAUGUGUGCCGUAAAUGAGUUAUUUCACUAGUCUUUUACGACAUACUUUUAUAGCAUGUCGUAAAUGAAUUAAAUUAAUAUUAUCUUUUUAUUUGUUUUAUCAAAGUAUAUUACAUUUUUUUUAUUAAAAAAAGAAAAACAAAAAAGAGGGAUCUGAUUUUAACGUUAUGUUUUCUUCUCGAAGCUCCCUUCUCUCACUUCGUCUUCACCGUUCGCCUGCAAAGCUUUCAAGCUCAGUGAACUCUCUGGCGCCAAAAUCACAUCUUCUUCUUCAAAUUUGAGCUGCCAUAUUCUAUCUCUCUCUCUCUCUCUCUCUCGUGUUUACUCUCUCGAUUUGGCAGAGAUUGCAAAGUUUUUGGGCAUUACAAAUACAAUAGACACAGAAGUCAUUCAAGUUAGUAGAUUCAUAUUGAUGUUGAAUUAUUUAUUUGAGUCAUAGAUGGCUUAUGGGUGAAAUUAAUAUCUCCUUAGUGUUGCUUUACAAAUGAACUGUACUUAUUGUCUGUACAAGUACAUUAUUCUUAAUUUCUGCUUUUGCCUUGUUUGAU